AUGGAAUAUGGAGCCUGUUACUGUCGUUUCAUCGCUGCUUCUUCUUUUGCAGGCUACGCCCAGGAGGAACAGCUGAAAGAAGAGGAGGAAAUAAAAGAAGAAGAGGAGGAGGAGGACAGCGGUUCAGUAGCUCAACUGCAGGGUGGCAAUGACACAGGGACGGACGAGGAGCUAGAAACAGGCCCAGAGCAAAAAGGCUGCUUCAGUUACCAGAACUCUCCGGGAAGUCAUUUGUCCAAUCAGGAUGCCGAGAAUGAGUCUCUGCUGAGCGAUGCCAGUGAUCAGGUGUCGGACAUCAAGAGUGUCUGCGGCCGAGAUGCCUCGGACAAGAAAGCAAACACUCACGUCAAGCUUCCAAACGAAGCACACAACUGCAUGGAUAAAAUGACUGCUGUCUACGCCAACAUCCUGUCGGAUUCCUACUGGUCAGGCCUGGGCCUGGGCUUCAAGCUGUCCAGUAGUGAGAGGCGGAACUGUGACACCCGAAACGGCAGCAACAAGAGUGAUUUUGACUGGCACCAAGACGCUCUGUCCAAAAGCCUGCCAGCAGAACUUGCCUUCUAGGUCCGUCUCGAAACCCAGCCUGUUCAGCUCGGUGCAGUUGUACCGGCAGAGCAGCAAGAUGUGCGGGACUGUGUUCACAGGGGCCAGCAGAUUCCGGUGCCGACAGUGCAGCGCGGCCUAUGACACCCUAGUCGAGUUGACUGUGCACAUGAAUGAAACGGGCCACUAUCAAGAUGACAACCGCAAAAAGGACAAGCUCAGACCCACAAGCUAUUCAAAGCCCCGGAAAAGGGCUUUCCAGGAUAUGGACAAGGAGGAUGCUCAAAAGGUUCUGAAAUGUAUGUUUUGUGGCGACUCCUUCGAUUCCCUCCAAGAUUUGAGCGUCCACAUGAUUAAAACAAAACAUUACCAAAAAGUGCCUUUGAAGGAGCCAGUCCCAACCAUUUCCUCGAAAAUGGUCACCCCGGCGAAAAAACGCGUUUUUGAUGUCAAUCGGCCGUGUUCCCCCGAUUCAACCACAGGAUCUUUUGCAGAUUCUUUUUCUCAGAAGAACGCCAACUUGCAGUUGUCCUCCAACAACCGCUAUGGCUACCAAAAUGGAGCCAGCUACACCUGGCAGUUUGAGGCCUGCAAGUCCCAGAUCUUAAAGUGCAUGGAGUGUGGGAGCUCCCAUGACACCUUGCAGCAGCUCACCACCCACAUGAUGGUCACAGGUCACUUUCUCAAGGUCACCAGCUCUGCCUCCAAGAAAGGGAAGCAGCUGGUAUUAGACCCGCUAGCAGUGGAGAAAAUGCAGUCGUUGUCCGAGGCCCCAAACAGUGAUUCUCUGGCUCCCAAGCCAUCCAGUAACUCAGUAUCAGAUUGUACAGCCUCUACAACUGAGCUAAAGAAAGAGAGUAAAAAAGAAAGGCCAGAGGAAACCAGCAAGGAUGAGAAAGUCGUGAAAAGUGAGGACUAUGAUGAUUCUCUACAAAAACCUUUAGACCCUACAAUCAAAUAUCAAUACCUAAGGGAGGAGGACUUGGAAGAUGGCUCAAAGGGUGGAGGUGACAUUUUGAAAUCUUUGGAAAAUACUGUCACCACAGCCAUCAACAAAGCCCAAAACGGGGCCCCCAGCUGGAGUGCCUACCCCAGCAUCCACGCAGCCUACCAGCUGUCUGAGGGCGCCAAGCCGCCUUUGCCUAUGGGAUCCCAGGUACUGCAGAUCCGGCCUAAUCUCACCAACAAGCUGAGGCCCAUUGCACCAAAGUGGAAAAUGAUGCCACUCGUUUCUGUGCCCACACACCUGGCCCCUUACACUCAAAUCAAGAAGGAGUCAGAAGACAAAGAUGAAGCCGUGAAGGAGUGUGGGAAAGAAAGUCCCCAUGAAGAGGCCUCAUCUUUCAGCCACAGUGAGGGCGAUUCUUUCCACAAAAGCGAAACGCCUCCAGAAGCCAAAAAGACUGAGCUGGGUUCCCUGAAGGAGGACAAGCUGAUGAAAGAGGGCAGCGAGAAAGAGAAACCCCAGCCCUUGGAGCCUACGUCUGCUCUGAGCAACGGGUGCGCCCUCCCCAACCACGCCCCGGCCCUGCCAUGCAUCAACCCACUCAGCGCCCUGCAGUCCGUCCUGAACAAUCACCUGGGCAAAGCCACGGAGCCCUUGCGCUCACCUUCCUGCUCCAGCCCAAGUUCAAGCACAAUUUCCAUGUUCCACAAGUCCAAUCUCAGUGUCAUGGACAAGCCGGUCUUGAGUCCCACCUCCACAAGGCCAGCCAGCGUGUCCAGGCGCUACCUGUUUGAGAACAGCGAUCAGCCCAUUGACCUGACCAAGUCCAAAAGCAAGAAAGCUGAGUCCUCGCAAGCACAAUCCUGUAUGUCCCCACCUCAGAAGCACGCUCUGUCUGACAUCGCUGACAUGGUGAAAGUCCUCCCCAAAGCCACCACCCCAAAGCCAGCCUCCUCUUCCAGGAUCCCUCCCAUGAAGCUGGAAAUGGAUGUCAGACGCUUUGAGGAUGUCUCCAGUGAAGUCUCAACUUUGCAUAAAAGAAAAGGCCGGCAGUCCAACUGGAAUCCUCAGCAUCUUCUGAUUCUACAAGCCCAGUUUGCCUCAAGCCUCUUCCAGACAUCAGAGGGCAAAUACCUGCUGUCUGAUCUGGGCCCACAAGAGCGUAUGCAAAUCUCGAAGUUUACGGGACUCUCAAUGACCACUAUCAGUCACUGGCUGGCCAACGUCAAGUACCAGCUUAGGAAAACGGGCGGGACAAAAUUUCUAAAAAACAUGGACAAAGGCCACCCCAUCUUUUAUUGCAGUGACUGUGCUUCCCAGUUCAGAACCCCUUCUACCUACAUCAGUCACUUAGAAUCUCACCUGGGUUUCCAAAUGAAGGACAUGACUCGCUUGUCAGUGGACCAGCAAAGCAAGGUGGAGCAAGAGAUCUCCCGGGUAUCGUCGGCUCAGAGGUCUCCGGAAACAAUAGCUGUGGAAGAGGACACAGACUCUAAAUUCAAGUGUAAGUUGUGCUGUCGGACAUUUGUGAGCAAACAUGCAGUAAAACUCCACCUAAGCAAAACGCACAGCAAGUCACCCGAACACCAUUCACAGUUUGUAACAGACGUGGAUGAAGAAUAGCUCUGCAGGUAUGAGUUUGCUCCGAGGCAUUGCGACUAGCCUGGUGAGGAGCUUCUUACAGGGAGAUGGGUCUGCUUAGAGGCAGCUAGUGUCUCCCAAUGCCAAGCAGGGUAGUAGCUUGCUUGAGUAGGAUUUAUUUUUAUGAAAGACCAGAACAUGAAAACUAAGUCCUAAUCAUUCUCUCAAGUCCUCCAGUCUAGAGCUGGGAACUAGAAUAAAAUGGGUUUAGAGAGAUAAAGUUCACAGAUUACUACUGCUUUUUCUAGGACUUCAUCAUCCAUAAUCCUGAAUUACCCAAGGCAAGUUCAAGUGUCCAGCCAAGGCUAUCUUUCAUUUUAAUUAUUAGAUACUAACUUCUGUCGCCAUUCCAUUUCACCACUCUACCUUUCCAUAGCAAUGCCAAUGACUUAUAAGGUGACAAGAAGGUGAGCAACGGAAGAAAGAUUGGAGAGUGCUAGAUGUAGUUACUAUAUAGAGAUUCUUUAAUCAACUCAUGAAUAGCUUGAAGUUGUCUUUAGGAUUGUUACUUGUAAUGAAUGCUUUUUGCAGUUUACUUUUUAGCCAUUGCCACCUUCCACCCUCUUCCCUUUGGUUAUUUUCUACAUUACAUGUCCUAUGAAUAAGCAUGUGCCCUAAACAGGUUGGUAGAAAAAUAGUCGUCUUCGCAAAACAUUGAGAUGAAAAGAGAAGAAGCUUAUUUUCUUCUUUCAUCUUUUGGUUGUCUUGUGGACAGGCCAAUAUUAGAGCCCACCUUUAACAAAGAUAGAGGCAAUGUGUGACCUUGAGGUUUCAUUUCACAUAAAGAAACAAAUGGCUUUCUGUAUACUUAAUGUGCAUGGAGUCCCACAGCUUGAAGAUUAUUUGCAUCAUGUAUCAUAGAAGUUCCAUGCCUUAUAUAGUCAUCCAUGCCCAGACCAUUUCUAUCAUUUUUAGGAAACAGGGCAGAGACCAAGGUCAAAUGCCCUGGCAGAUUAGUUUCACCAGCCAUUUUCAAAUUGAGUAUAAGCAAGGCUGAGUCUUAACAAAUCUCUUUCAUUUGCCUAUUUGUGUUUUCUGUACUUCUUUUUCUCUCCCUUCCAGCAGGAUUCCCCCACACACUAAGAGCCCUCCUAUGUGUUCACGUGUUCCUCCACCUUCGGCCAUUCCCCAAGACGGGAACCCAACCUGAACUAAACCUUCCGCACUGACCAAUCCAGUUUAUGUCAUGCUAAGUUACAGAUUUGCUCCUAACUAAUUAGCUCUUAAUUAAUUCACAAUCAAAUAUGAAAAACUAAUAACAUAUAAU